rnacentral:rRNA from 1 species
GACGAACGCUGGCGGCGUGCUUAACACAUGCAAGUCGAACGGAAAGGCCCCUUUGGGGGUACUCGAGUGGCGAACGGGUGAGUAACACGUGCGUAACCUGCCCUUGACUUCGGGAUAACUUCAGGAAACUGGGGCUAAUACCGGAUAGGAAUCCUUGCUGCAUGGUGGGGGUUGGAAAGCUUCGGCGGUUUUGGAUGGACUCGCGGCUUAUCAGCUUGUUGGUGGGGUAGUGGCUUACCAAGGCUUUGACGGGUAGCCGGCCUGAGAGGGCGACCGGCCACAUUGGGACUAAGAUAGGGCCCAGACGCCUACGGGAGGCAGCAGGGGGGAAUAUUGCACAAUGGGGGGAAGCCGGAUGCAGAAACGCCGGGUGCGGGAUAACGGCCUUCGGGUUAAAAACCGCUUUCAGCAGGGGCAAAGCUUUUGUGACGGUACCUGAAGAAGAAGCACCGGCUAACUACGUG